rnacentral:pre_miRNA from 1 species
UCCCGGUUGGCCUAGCCAACCGCAACUAAAGGCCUUCGGGGACCUUUAGUCGCGGUUGGCCAGGCCAACCGGGA